UUUUCUUUUUUCUUUUUCUUUUUUUUUUUUGAGAAAUAGAUAGUAUGCUACGUCUUCGUUUAUUUCAUUUAUAAAUAAACUUAGCUAAAAAUAUAAAUUAAUUAAGAUUCGAAUUUAGAAUUUCGAAUACCAAUCACCAAAAAUUUUGCCACUUGCGUUAGAGACGGUCAGUGCAACGAAAUAUUUCUUCAGAAUAUGGUUCUUACAACACAUAACCUAUUAAAGGGAGAUUGAGUCCGCGUACUAUGUGGCACUGAAGGAAAAACUAUCAAUCAUUUAUUCACACGACAUUGUGUUGGCUAGAUUCUUAAUGGUGAUGAUCUAGAAGACCGUCCAACUUAGAGAAAUAGGAGACGACGUGAAUUUGGUUUGGAAUAGAUCGAUGGCUAGGAAUGAAAUGCAGCCUGUGAGUACUAAAUUGAUUGAACUAAUAACCUAUUGGUGGAUCACUUAGAAGGUCAGAAACGUUGUGAUCUUUAUGCAUACCUAAUCGGACUCCCUCCUAGCAGUUUACAAGAUCAAAUAGUUGAUAAACUUUUGGGAGCUGCAUCUCUAAGUGAUUUUUUUUUUCCCGCCCAUCCUGAGACCUAUGUUGCCUCACUCCUGUAGCAUAGUUCAUCUUAUCAAUGAAUGAAACGAGUAGCGUACUAUCUUUUUCUAAAAGAAAAACUUUUUUUAACCUCUUCUUGUUUGGUGUAAAUUAUAAAUGG
rnacentral:lncRNA from 1 species